CUGGGGCUUGAACUCAGGGCCUGAGCACUGUCCAUUAGUUAUGUCCCUGAAGGCUGGUAAUCUUGGCAUUUGAGCCACAGCUCCACUUCUGACAUUUUUCUGGUUAAUUGGAGAUAACAGUCACACAGACUUUUCUUCUCAUAUGAUUUCAAAUUGUGAUCC